AAGCCUGAUGCAGCCAUGCCGCGUGUAUGAAGAAGGCUUCGGGUUGUAAAGUACUUUCAGCAGUGAGGAAGGUGGAUAUGUUAAUAGCAUAUUCAUUUGACGUUUAGCUGCAGAAGAAGCACCGGCUAACUCCGUGCCAGCAGCCGCGGUAAUACGGAGGGUGCGAGCGUUAAUCGGAAUUACUGGGCGUAAAGCGCAUGCAGGUGGUUUGUUAAGUCAGAUGUGAAAGCCCGGGGCUCAACCUCGGAAUUGCAUUUGAAAACUGGCAAACUAGAGUACUGUAGAGGGGGUAGGAAUUUCAGGUGUAGCGGUGAAAUGCGUAGAGAUCUGAAGGAAUACCGGUGGCGAAGGCGGCCCCCUGGACAGAUACUGACACUCAGAUGCGAAAGCGUGGGGAGCAAACAGGAUUAGAUACCCUGGUAG
rnacentral:rRNA from 1 species